ensembl:lncRNA
CCAAGGCGGUCCCUCCCCUGGACGGGCGACAGACAUCCCCAGCCCUGGGCGGCGACUCCCACCGGCGCAACACGGAAUACCUCCCUGCGCAACCCUGCACUCUUCCUCCCGGCCCGUGGCCCGCCUCGCCCCGACUCACUUGCGGCGCUCUCAGCCGGGAAGGCGGCGGCGGCCCCGGAGCCCACCGAGCGCUCGCGCGGCGCGCAGCCCGAUUCUCUUUGUUAGGGUCGGGCAGUGCCAGGGCGGCUCCCCAGCCCAGCCUGGUGCUCAACUCCGCUCCCCCAGGUGCCUCCGGACCUCACCCGGCCGAGGGAGAAGAGCCCGGGACUCAAGCUCCGAAGCUGGGGACCGAACCCAGGGCCUUGUGCUUCCUAGAGACUUCCGGGCCCCUGGCUGCUGUAGGACAAGCCCCCCAAGAAACAGUGACUCCCCACAAUCUACAGCUGCCAAAAUUGUUGCCCUAGUCUCACAGAACUGCCCUGGGCACAAACUGACCAGCAAUGGCCUUUCGAGGAAGCGAAGAUGCUUGUGAUAAAUUCUCUUCCAGACAGUUGGACAUCUGCUCUCCUUAGAGGGACGACUUCUAUGGUAGAAGCAUCUACUGUCUACUUGCUGCCCUGAGGACUGCUGUCAGAAUAAAACCCACAGGGGCAGUUAAGGCUUUGUGUGAGAGAAUAUGGAUUCUAGAAGCUUCCUUGAGACGUAUGAAUGUUCUCAGGGGGAGAGGAGGAGGGAUACUUUGUACCUGCUAGCGAUUCCUUUCAAACUUGCUCCCUUCUGUUCCCUGAGGCCUCCCUGUUAUUAUGAUUUUUUAGUCAUUUAUUUUUGUGUUUCACUUAAACCUCUUGUUCGUCGUUGAUGUGCAGACUUUGGGUCUGGUUAAUUUUAGUCCAUGAUGUUCUUUAUUCCCAGGUUUUUUUUUUAUAAUAAAGUUUAUUUUAAAAAUCAACUUUGCGUGGGCAGGAGAGAUGGUGAAAUGCUUUAAAAGCAGUUGUCCUUCAUGCAGAAGACACAGGUUCGUUUACCAGAACCCAUUUAAUGGCUCACAACCGUCCAUAACGCCAGUUCCAGGGGAAUCCAAAGUCUUCUGGCCUCCAGGGCACUGCAUGCAUGAGGUACCCAGCCAUACAUGCACACAAAAACCGACUUUGAAAUGACUUCUUUUUCUUAUUUCUUCUGAUUUCUCAGCAACAUUUGCUUUAGGAAAAAAAAUUUUUUUAAAGGUGAAGCAAAUAUACAAAACAGAGAAGAAAACCAUCAAUCAGCCCCAAGCAAAAUUAACCUUUUGGCCUUUUUCCUUCCGGUUAUUUCCUGUGUGCGUUUCUUCAGCUUUCCAUGGCCUUUAUUUGAUGCAAGGUAAUGUCUUCAGGCAAAGCGCUGGUGGCGAUCAGCUGAUCUUCGGCCACAGGAGAGAGGACUCUGUAGUGGGGCUGUCCGACUUUGAAGCCUGACUCUGCCGUGUAACCUUGAGAAAAGCUGACUUGCCCUCUUCUGGGUCUUUUUCCUUGCUAUAAGAUGAGGGUUGUAGAUCUCACUUCUUGAGGUUGUUCUAAAGACUAAG